ACAAGGUCACCCUCUCUGAAUACACGAGGUUAAACCUUCUUGUCAAAUGCUUUCUUCAUUCUAUUUUGAUAUAACUGACCAUGACACAAGGUUGUCAUUCUUUUCUCUUCAAUCAAAUUCAACUGACCAUAUCUGCUCGGACACCAUUCAACCUCAGAGAAACUGGAUUCCAUCAGGACUCACAUUGAUGGGAUCUCAACCUCCACAAGGAGCACUUCUUCCAUGCCAUAAACAAGAGAUAA
rnacentral:lncRNA from 1 species